rnacentral:misc_RNA from 1 species
AUUCUUAACAAUUUUAAAACAAAGGUGCUCACUUCUCAAGUACCAAAUAUUUGUAUCUCAGUUGUUGUAUUUAAAUUCCUAAUGGACGCUUGGCAGUUGGCAGUCAUUGAAUGAUCUUAUUAUUUUUGUAAAAAAGAAACUAUUCUGUACAUGCCUACUAAAGUUGCAGCUUUAUUGCUGGCAGGUUGAUAUUCAAAGAUCCCAUAUAUUUUCUUGUAAAUGUGAUCAAUUGACGUUGAACUUACUAAAAUGACUAUAAGAUGGAGGCAAAAUAAUGUGGCAUUUUAUCAUUGGAACCCCAAUAAGAUCCAUAACUGUAUUGGUUUUAUUGUGCAUUAUCUGCAUUGAUAUGAAACGUAGGGUAUUGACAACACUAUGGGAGUAAUUAGGCAACAAAAAGCUUAUUUUUAAUUGUUUUAGAAAUUAGCAAAUAGGUGUCUCAAUAAUAAAACAUGUGAUUGAAAUUCACUGAUGAAUGAUGACUAUAGGUUUUAAGCCAAAUUUAUGUGUUCCUGUAUUGCAGCUCUGAUUUAUCCAAUAUGUUUGUUGAUAACUGAAUUUUUAUUUUGGAUUUUAUUUUCUUCUGAUAGCUGGGGGAAAGGACAGCUAACA